rnacentral:misc_RNA from 1 species
UUUCCGUAGGUGAACCUGCGGAAGGAUCAUUAACGAGGAAGGGCUUGAGCCCGAACUCCCCACCCUUGUGCCGUCGCGAACACGUUGCUUCGGCGGGCCGCCCCCUCCCGAGGGGACGUCGCCCGCCGGGGGACCGAAACAACCCUGCAUUCAACCGUGAGGUCGGAGUACAAGGUACAAUCAAAGCAAAACUUUCAACAACGGAUCUCUUGGUUCUGGCAUCGAUGAAGAACGCAGC